UACGUAGGGCGCAAGCGUUAUCCGGAAUUAUUGGGCGUAAAGAGCUCGUAGGCGGUUUGUUGCGUCGGCUGUGAAAUCCCGAGGCCCAACCUCGGGCCUGCAGUCGAUACGAGCAAACUAGAGUGUUGCAGGGGAGACUGGAAUUCCUGGUGUAGCGGUGAAAUGCGCAGAUAUCAGGAGGAACACCGGUGGCGAAGGCGGGUCUCUGGGCAACAACUGACGCUGAGGAGCGAAAGCGUGGGGAGCGAACAGG
rnacentral:rRNA from 1 species